CUAAGCUUGACAUCCCACUGAUCUCUCCCUAAUCGGAGAUUUCCCUUCGGGGACAGUGGUGACAGGUGGUGCAUGGUUGUCGUCAGCUCGUGUCGUGAGAUGUUGGGUUAAGUCCCGCAACGAGCGCAACCCUUGCCUUUAGUUGCCAGCAUUAAGUUGGGCACUCUAGAGGGACUGCCGAGGAUAACUCGGAGGAAGGUGGGGAUGACGUCAAAUCAUCAUGCCCCUUAUGCUUAGGGCUACACACGUGCUACAAUGGGUGGUACAGAGGGUUGCCAAACCGCGAGGUGGAGCUAAUCCCUUAAAGCCAUUCUCAGUUCGGAUUGUAGGCUGAAACUCGCCUACAUGAAGCUGGAGUUACUAGUAAUCGCAGAUCAGAAUGCUGCGGUGAAUGCGUUCCC
rnacentral:rRNA from 1 species